UACGUAGGGGGCUAGCGUUGUCCGGAAUCAUUGGGCGUAAAGCGCGUGUAGGCGGUCCGGUAAGUCCGCUGUGAAAGUCGGGGGCUCAACCCUCGAAUGCCGGUGGAUAGUGUCGGGCUAGAGUGCGGAAGAGGCGAGUGGAAUUCCUGGUGUAGCGGUGAAAUGCGCAGAUAUCAGGAGGAACACCAAUUGCGAAGGCAGCUCGCUGGGACGUUACUGACGCUGAGACGCGAAAGCGUGGGGAGCAAACAGG
rnacentral:rRNA from 1 species